UACAGAGGGUGCGAGCGUUGUUCGGAAUUAUUGGGCGUAAAGGGCGCGUAGGCGGCGCCACAAGUCACUUGUGAAAACUCUGGGCUCAACUCAGAGCCUGCAAGCGAAACUGUGGUGCUGGAGUAUGGGAGAGGUGCGUGGAAUUCCCGGUGUAGCGGUGAAAUGCGCAGAUAUCGGGAAGAACACCCGUGGCGAAGGCGGUUCUCUGGGACGGUACUGACGCUGAGACGCGAAAGCGUGGGGAGCGAACAGG
rnacentral:rRNA from 1 species